rnacentral:rRNA from 1 species
CCAAUAGCGUAUAUUAGUGUUGUUGCGGUUAAAACGCUCGUAGUUGAAUUUCGGGAUUGGGAUAUAUUGGUCGUGCCUUUAGGGGCAUGAAUCGGUGUGUGGCCAAUUCUCACUUUCUGGUGAAUUGGGAUGCUCUCGGGUGUUUCAAUGAACUAGGACUUUUACUUUGAAAAAAUUAGAGUGUUUAAAGCGGGCAUUUUUGCUUGAAUACGUUAGCAUGGAAUAAUAAAAUAGGACGAUGGUUCUAUUUUGUUGGUUUUAGGACCACGUAAUGAUUAAUUGGGAUAGUUGGGGGCAUUAGUAUUCAAUUGUCAGAGGUGAAAUUCUUGGAUUUAUUGAGGACUAACUACUGCGAAAGCAUUUGCCAAGGAUGUUUUCAUUAAUCAAGAACGAAAGUUAGGGGAUCAAAGACGAUUUAUGUACGUCGUAGUCUUAACCAUAAACUAUGCCGACUAGGAAUCAGACAAAGUUAAUUUUUUAACGACUUGUUUGGUACCUUACG